rnacentral:sRNA from 1 species
UUGUUUAUAUGCAUAAUCUAGUAUCAAAAGAAAAGAAAACUCCAGAGGUUGCUACACAGUCUGGAAAGAAAGACUCGCUACAAGAUGAAGCUUUGACACUUGUAGAAGAAAGAUUGUCAAAAGAUAUUCAACUCAUUCAGAAAUUGGGCUUCUCAAUCGAAGACGUGAUCCAGGAUCUAUCGAAAAAA